rnacentral:rRNA from 1 species
UACGGAGGGUGCGAGCGUUGUCCGGAAUCACUGGGCGUAAAGGGCGCGUAGGUGGCGCGGCAAGCCAACGGUGAAAGCUCGACGCUCAACGUCGAGUCGGCCGUCGAUACUGCCGCGCUCGAGCACUGUAGAGGCAGAUGGAAUUCCGGGUGUAGCGGUGGAAUGCGUAGAGAUCCGGAAGAACACCGGUGGCGAAGGCGGUCUGCUGGGCAGUUGCUGACACUGAGGCGCGACAGCGUGGGGAGCAAACAGG